rnacentral:misc_RNA from 1 species
UGGAGCGAUUUCGACAAAUUUUCUUUUAAUCGAAAGGUGGUGUGUGCCAAUUGGUCCCAUUUAAAUUUAUUUGAGAUCUAACAACUACUUUUCGAGCUAUAUCUAAUAAUGCGUUUUUACUUGACGCUUUUUUCGUCUACCUACGUUGUAUUAUACCGCAUAACUUUCUACUGGAUGUACCGAUUUUAAUAAUUCUUUUUUUUUUGGAAAGAAGAUAUCCCUAGUUUAGUACCAUGAUAAGGAAACCAGGAUCUGAUGAUGGGAUCCCAGAGAAAUCGAGGGAACUUCUCGAAAAUCCGCAA